UACGGAGGGGGCUAGCGUUGUUCGGAAUUACUGGGCGUAAAGCGCGCGUAGGCGGCUUUGUAAGUUAGAGGUGAAAGCCCGAAGCUCAACUUCGGAAUUGCCUUUAAGACUGCAUCGCUAGAAUCAUGGAGAGGUUAGUGGAAUUCCGAGUGUAGAGGUGAAAUUCGUAGAUAUUCGGAAGAACACCAGUGGCGAAGGCGACUAACUGGACAUGUAUUGACGCUGAGGUGCGAAAGCGCGGGGAGCAAACAGG
rnacentral:rRNA from 1 species